CGUUCUCCUUUUGUCUUCGUCGACCUCAGCUGCUGGGAUACUGCAACCGCGGUGCCGCAAGAUCUCCUACCCGCGGCCGUUUCGUGCGCCAUGGAAGGAUUUGGUUGACGCGUGCUGGGUUUUUUCCAGGGUGUGCUGGUUUCUUUUUGGGAAUUUCAUCUCCUGUUCUUCUGUCCCGAUUCUCUGUCUCCUUCGCAAGCAGCUCUUCAUCGCACCGAUCUGGAUUGCCAGUCCCUGCUUCACUCGCCCGUGGUUCGUGAGAUUGGUUCCGUCCGUAUUGUUGUCCGUCCAUCGUAUGUAGUUUCACCGCCCGUGUAUAUCGUUCGCUCUUUCUGCCGAGGUUGUGUUUGUAUUCGUCUUCUGUCUCCUCACGUUCCCGGAGCACUGCACGCCGGCGCGAACGAGCUUCAGGUAUUGUUGCUCUGUUCCGUGGUGCGUGUCUUCACAACAGCUUCAAGCAAACAACCCUCGUGAGCUGGCCGGUCUUCCGAUGUAUUACGUAUCCAAUAUUUUGUAUAAAAUAUUGAGGCACCCAAAUAUUAGGAGCCAAAGUGGAGCAAUUUUCUAGGCCAUGCUGAAAAUUCAUUGGAGUCCAGCUGUUAUACUGAAAGGUUACUAUCCCUUCAAGCUCUGCUUUCUGCUUCUGCCCCUGAUGAUUCUCAGGCUGCUGUUGUUGCACACGACUUGUCUAAGUUGGAUCUUUGCUAUUUAGUUCCAUGUUUUAACUGAUCACUACCUAAUUUUUCCAUGGGAGCUACUAUGCAUUGGGUGUUAAAUUGAUAUUUCCUCUUCGUGGGCUAAUAUCUUUUUCCUGAAGUUCAGUUAUGUACUUGGGCAGAAAUGCCACAUAAUACCUAUGGUACAAUAGCACAAAAGUGUUGGAGAGUCCGCCCCUUAGCAUGCCAUCGAUCUGCCAUAAUUUCUGAAUAAUUUAAGGUAUAUGUUUCAGUGUCUACAAAUCCAUAGCAAGCAUGCUCUCUCUCCGUGUUGUUUUUUUCAUAGAAAUUUCAAAACAGUGACCUGUAGCGUUUAGAUAUACAUAAACGACAAUAUUUGUCCUGUGUGAUCAUUUGUGUGUAGUCUUAGUUUUAUUGAUGGAUGGUUUAUGGGUUUGCUCUAGCACUUUCAUUUGGUGCAGUACCAGGAGAAAAGGAACCCAGUGAAGCACAUGCGAGUAUGCUUGCCCUAUCCCAGAGCGCUCCACGAUAGCCAGGUAGAGAUCGUUGAUUGGGCAAAGGAAGUGAGGGUAAAUAUUUGGAAUGCAUAUUAGAACUUGAUGAGCUCAAGCUACCUACAUAGUAUUACAGUAUUGCUCAUAGCCUCUCGCUUCCAUUUAGUUACUGGAGUACUGAGGUUGUACCUAAAGAUGGUCUAUAAUCUGGUUUGCGCCACCUUUUGUUCUAUUAUACUGCAAUAAAAGCUUGUUGCCCUUUUCCCUGUCUAUGCUAUGAUUUUGUAUCUAAACCUUUUAUAUUGUAAAUGUUACAUUGGUACUGCCUGCUAAAAAAACGUUUACACUAUUUCCUAUUCUCCAGGUCUGUUCAUCAAUCUCUUGGCAUGAACUAUUUGAUUGCUUCUUCGUAUCUGCCAUAGGAGUAACCUAGGUCAACAUACAUAAAUAGCAUGUGUUCUGCACUUUUAUGUGGAGCCUUUCUCAUGUUGUUCUCUAUCUUGUUGUAUAUAUAAAAUGUUCUCUGUGUUUCACUGCCUGAGGAUUCUCUUCAUGUUGUUCCUUUGGUUGCUCUACAUAAUUAAAUGUUAUUGAAUACAACAGUUCUGGUGUCUAUGUUGGACUUGCGUGAAUUAUGUGUAAUUUAACUCACUCCAGCUAUAUGAAAGAUAUGUUUGUAUCUUCUACUGGUGUUGAUUUAUCUUAGUGCUAAUACAAGCAGAUAUUUUAUCCUUGUAAAUGCACUUAUAACAUUGAAAGAAGAGAAGAAACAUAAGAUAGUUUCACGUGUACAAAUACCAUGA